rnacentral:rRNA from 1 species
AUCCUGGCUCAGGAUAAACGCUGGCGGCAUGCCUAAUACAUGCAAGUCGAACGGGGGUGCUUGCACCCCAGUGGCGAACGGGUGAGUAACACGUAUCUAACCUACCUCAUAGCGGGGGAUAACUUUUGGAAACGAAAGAUAAUACCGCAUAUGAAUCUUAUUAUCGCAUGAGAAAAGAUUGAAAGGACCGUUUGGUUCACUAUGAGAUGGGGAUGCGGCGUAUUAGUUAGUAGGUGAGGUAAUGGCUCACCUAGGCGAUGAUACGUAGCCGAACUGAGAGGUUGAUCGGCCACAUUGGGACUGAGAUACGGCCCAGACUCCUACGGGAGGCAGCAGUAGGGAAUUUUUCACAAUGGACGAAAGUCUGAUGAAGCAAUGCCGUGUGAGUGAUGACGGCCUUCGGGUUGUAAAGCUCUGUUGUAAGGGAAGAAAAAAUAGAGUAGGAAAUGCCUCUAUAUUGACGGUACCUUACCAGAAAGCCACGGCUAACUAUGUGCCAGCAGCCGCGGUAAUACAUAGGUGGCAAGCGUUAUCCGGAUUUAUUGGGCGUAUAGGGUGCGUAGGCGGUUUUGCAAGUUUGAGGUUAAAGCCCGGAGCUCAACUCCGGUCCGCCUUGAAAACUGCAUUACUAGAAUGCAAGAGAGGUAAGUGGAAUUCCAUGUGUAGCGGUGAAAUGCGUAGAUAUAUGGAAGAACACCUGUGGCGAAAGCGACUUACUGGCUUGUUAUUGACGCUGAGGCACGAAAGCGUGGGGAGCAAAUAGGAUUAGAUACCCUAGUAGUCCACGCCGUAAACGAUGAGUACUAGGUGUUGGGGUUAUCUCAGCGCCGCAGCUAACGCAUUAAGUACUCCGCCUGAGUAGUAUGCUCGCAAGAGUGAAACUCAAAGGAAUUGACGGGGACCCGCACAAGUGGUGGAGCAUGUGGUUUAAUUCGAAGCAACGCGAAGAACCUUACCAGGUCUUGACAUCCUUUGACCACUCUGGAGACAGAGCUUUCCCUUCGGGGACAAAGUGACAGGUGGUGCAUGGUUGUCGUCAGCUCGUGUCGUGAGAUGUUGGGUUAAGUCCCGCAACGAGCGCAAC